GAUGAACGCUAGCUACAGGCUUAACACAUGCAAGUCGAGGGGCAGCGCAGUGUAGCAAUACAUGGGCGGCGACCGGCGCACGGGUGCGUAACGCGUAUCCAACCUUCCCGUUACUCAGGGAUAGCCUUCCGAAAGGGAGAUUAAUACCUGAUGGUGUUCAAAUUCCGCAUGUUAUUUGAAUUAAAGAUUAAUCGGUAACGGAUGGGGAUGCGUGACAUUAGAUAGUAGGCGGGGUAACGGCCCACCUAGUCUACGAUGUCUAGGGGUUCUGAGAGGAAGGUCCCCCACACUGGAACUGAGACACGGUCCAGACUCCUACGGGAGGCAGCAGUGAGGAAUAUUGCACAAUGGGGGAAACCCUGAUGCAGCAACGCCGCGUGAGGGAAGACGGUUUUCGGAUUGUAAACCUCUGUCCUCUGUGAAGAAGAAAGUGACGGUAGCAGAGGAGGAAGCCACGGCUAACUACGUG
rnacentral:rRNA from 1 species